AUUGAACGCUGGCGGCAUGCCUUACACAUGCAAGUCGAACGGUAACAGGUCUUCGGAUGCUGACGAGUGGCGAACGGGUGAGUAAUACAUCGGAACGUGCCCGAUCGCGGGGGAUAACGGAGCGAAAGCUUUGCUAAUACCGCAUACGAUCUACGGAUGAAAGCAGGGGACCGCAAGGCCUUGCGCGGACGGAGCGGCCGAUGGCAGAUUAGGUAGUUGGUGGGAUAAAAGCUUACCAAGCCGACGAUCUGUAGCUGGUCUGAGAGGACGACCAGCCACACUGGGACUGAGACACGGCCCAGACUCCUACGGGAGGCAGCAGUGGGGAAUUUUGGACAAUGGGCGAAAGCCUGAUCCAGCCAUGCCGCGUGCAGGAUGAAGGCCUUCGGGUUGUAAACUGCCUUUGUACGGAACGAAAAGACUCUUUCUAAUAAAGAGGGUCCAUGACGGUACCGUAAGAAUAAGCACCGGCUAACUACGUG
rnacentral:rRNA from 1 species